AUUUACAACAUUAACAAUGUCUACACUGUAUUUCUGAUCAAUUCGAUGUUAUUUAAUGGACAAAAAAUGUGCUUUUCUUUCAAAAACAAAGACAUUUCUAAGCAACUUUUGAACUGAAGUGUACUUUUCCUUUUUCCACGAAUCACGAGGAUCUAGGCCUGGUCGGGUGUAUGUAGUAUAUCCCUCGUGUCCAACUAAUUGAAGAAGAACUCCUCGUCUAAUUUGAGCUUUGAUGUCAGCUGGAUGCUGUACCACCAACUGUAGAAAUGUGAAAAUAUGGGACAGCUUCGAUGCCUCUUCUUGACCACACUGCACCCCAGCUGGGACGUUUGGGGUGAAACGUACCUCCUCAACGGGGGGAUAAGGAAGUGUCCAACACUCCUGCUGCCCUGGCCCAAACAGACACUAGGACAACUGGACACCCCUCUCCAAGAUCCUGAUGUUCUGUCCCAUCCGUCCUCACAUACUACUAUGUUUUCAUUUCUACAUAUCUAGAGUUCGGGACAAUUUGGGGGGAAACUUGGGAAUGCUAUUAGGACAGAUGGAUGGCAUUCCCAAAGACUGCCACAGCUAAAUAGAUGAGAGCUAGACUGGAUACCGAAUAUGAGCUCCCUGCCAACCACCAUGACUUGACCUACCCCCCAGAGAGGGAAAGAUGCAGGGGAAGAAGUGAAAAGAAGGAGAGAAGAAGAGGAACUCUCCUCUCUGUUUACAGAUUCAUCUCAUCAGUCUGGGGUCCACUAUCUCUCUCUCUCUCUCUUUAUCUAUUUUUAUCUCUCGCUUUCUCUCGCUCUCUCCUCUUCCUCCCUCUGCCUCUACCCUUUCUCUCUUAAUCUCUCUCAAUCUCUCUCUCUUAUUAUCUCUCUCUUAUUAUCUCUUUCUCUCUCUCUCUCCUAUUCAUCUUUCUCCCUCUGCCUCUGCCUCUCCUCUCUAUAUCUCUCUCUCUCUCUCUCUCUCUCUCUCCUGUUCCUCUUUCUCCCUCAGCCUCUCCCCUCUCUCUUAAUCUCUAUAUCUUCCCCUUCACUUCCACUUUCUUCUUCUCUUUCCUCUCUCCCCUGCUAUCUCGCUCUCUCCCACCACCCCCUUUCUCCUUCCUUCCAUCCCUCCCUCUCCCCCCCUCCUUCCCACCGUACCUCCAGCAGCCUCCACAGAUAUUCAUCAUCUUCUUCUGUGUACUGAGACAGUAGUAAUCUAAUGUUCCUCCCCUCGUCUGCAGCCACAAAUCUAGAUGAUAAGAUUAUCCUAUCCUCUCCCAGUCAUCAUCUCAAACUUUUGUUGACCAAUUUCAUUAAACAGAGUGAAAAAGCUGAAGUUUGUGUUAAAGGGAAAGUUCAGCGAAAUUGCACAUUUAGAUAUUUGUUUCCUCACCUUGAAAACAGUUUCUCAAAUAUCUAAUUUUGCUGAACUAUCCCUUUUUUAGAAGUUCCUAGGCAAUUACCCUCCACCACCAACAUGCUGUGUCUUAUUACAAAACUACAAAAUGGCCGCCAAUGUUAGCUUGUUGGGUAACGUUGUAGUUCUAACCAGAUACAGUGUUACGGUGUUAGCCUAGUUUUCUUUUUUGUAAAAUCUUGCUCCCUUCCGAGCACCUAUAUUUCCAGCUAGGGAGGUGAGUAUACAUUCUCCAUGUUGUUUUAUACAAGAAAGGUAAAGUCAAAGUACAUAGUAGUUUAUUGGGAUUAGUUUUCUAUAUAUAUAUAUUAUAUAUAAUGAUUAUUAUUUUUGACUGGUAUUAGAACAAUUAUAUGAAGAUAUCUAUGUAUACAAAAUAAUAAAGAUUCUUCUUUAUGUAAACUUUGUUUUUUGGAAAACUUAUUUUUGCAUGAUACUACUACGACUAUACAUGUAAUUAAGGCUGGGAUUCAAUCCGAUCGCAGCUUGUAAGGCAAUUC
ensembl:lncRNA